rnacentral:rRNA from 1 species
CUUGGUCAUUUAGAGGAAGUAAAAGUCGUAACAAGGUCUCCGUAGGUGAGCCUGCGGAGGGAUCAUUACAAGUGACCCCGGUCUAACCACCGGGAUGUUCAUAACCCUUUGUUGUCCGACUCUGUUGCCUCCGGGGCGACCCUGCCUUCGGGCGGGGGCUCCGGGUGGACACUUCAAACUCUUGCGUAACUUUGCAGUCUGAGUAAACUUAAUUAAUAAAUUAAAACUUUUAACAACGGAUCUCUUGGUUCUGGCAUCGAUGAAGAACGCAGCGAAAUGCGAUAAGUAAUGUGAAUUGCAGAAUUCAGUGAAUCAUCGAAUCUUUGAACGCACAUUGCGCCCCCUGGUAUUCCGGGGGGCAUGCCUGUUCGAGCGUCAUUUCACCACUCAAGCCUCGCUUGGUAUUGGGCAACGCGGUCCGCCGCGUGCCUCAAAUCGACCGGCUGGGUCUUCUGUCCCCUAAGCGUUGUGGAAACUAUUCGCUAAAGGGUGUUCGGGAGGCUACGCCGUAAAACAACCCCAUUUCUAAGGUUGACCUCGGAUCAGGUAGGGAUACCCGCUGAACUUAAGCAUAUCAAUAAGCGGAGGA